rnacentral:tRNA from 1 species
UGUGCUAUAGUGUAAGAGCACGAAAGUUUUUGAUACUUUAAGCGCUUGUUAAUGCAAGUUGGCACAA